CGCCGUGGAUUACAAUGGACGGUGUCGAGUUUCCACAGAUGCCGCCGUAUCUCGCCGGUGAUGCUGGAAAAACAAGAUGUAGACUUAACGGUUCUGCAGGUUUUUCUGUCUUGUAUUCCUCUCUGUCACGAUGGGCAACUAUAGCUCAGCUCUCAUUCCUGAAGCUGAAGAGUUUGUGUCUGUGGCGGAGCAAACAGUUCACUCUGCAGAGUUACAGUCAGAGCUUCAAUCUCUGGGAAGUAUCCAUUUUUAAUGAUAAAGAAGUCACACUUUGUUAUUAAUUCAUUCCACCAUUUCAGAUACUACUGCCAUUACUUGUUGCCUUGUGUGUAACGAGUGUGUGGUCUGGCGUGUUUGUGUCCCAUCUGUCCUUGAGAUAAAUAUAACUUUUCUGAGUUGCCUCAUGCACACAGACAUG